rnacentral:lncRNA from 1 species
GCCUCUCUCUUUCUCUUUCUCUCUCUCUCUCUCUGCCUCCAUCCCUCCUCUCUUUCCUUCUCCCCCACCUCUGUGUGAUUGUAGGUGAUAAUCUCUCAACAUCAAGAGGUUAUCCAGGAGAUCUCAUGUAUAGAUUGAAGAGGAGGAUAAAAAGGCUUCCAAGUCAGCUGGGACAGAGAUGCCAACACAAAGGCCUAAUGGAAGGAAUAUGUUUGCUUCUAAUUUAGAAUAAGAAAAACUGCACGCACAGAUCAAACCC